rnacentral:rRNA from 1 species
GCCCAGACUCCUACGGGAGGCAGCAGUGGGGAAUAUUGCACAAUGGGGGGAACCCUGAUGCAGCGACGCCGCGUGGGUGAAGGAGUAUUUCGGUAUGUAAAGCCCUAUCAGCAGGGAAGAACAAUGACGGUACCUGACUAAGAAGCACCGGCUAAAUACGUGCCAGCAGCCGCGGUAAUACGUAUGGUGCAAGCGUUAUCCGGAUUCACUGGGUGUAAAGGGAGUGUAGACGGCGACGCAAGUCUGGAGUGAAAGCCCGGGGCCCAACCCCGGGACUGCUCUGGAAACUGCGGCGCUGGAGUACGGGAGGGGCAGGCGGAAUUCCUGGUGUAGCGGUGAAAUGCGUAGAUAUCAGGAGGAACACCGGCGGCGAAGGCGGCCUGCUGGACCGUGACUGACGUUGAGGCUCGAGAGCGUGGGGAGCAAACAGGAUUAGAUACCCCCGUA